CAGUCGAACGAAGCGCUUUUCCGGAACUCUUCGGAGGGAAAGGGAAGUGACUGAGUGGCGGACGGGUGAGUAACGCGUGGGCAACCUGCCCCAUACAGGGGGAUAACAGCCGGAAACGGCUGCUAAUACCGCAUAAGCGCACGGGACCGCAUGGUUCUGUGUGAAAAACAAUAGUGGUAUGGGAGGGGCCCGCGUCUGAUUAGCCAGUUGGCGGGGUAGAGGCCCACCAAAGCGACGAUCAGUAGCCGGCCUGAGAGGGCGGACGGCCACAUUGGGACUGAGACACGGCCCAAACUCCUACGGGAGGCAGCAGUGGGGGAUAUUGCACAAUGGGGGGAACCCUGAUGCAGCGACGCCGCGUGGACGAAGAAGUAUUUCGGUAUGUAAAGUCCUAUCAGCAGGGAAGAAGAAAUGACGGUACCUGACUAAGAAGCCCCGGCUAACUACGUGCCAGCAGCCGCGGUAAUACGUAGGGGGCAAGCGUUAUCCGGAUUUACUGGGUGUAAAGGGAGCGCAGGCGGCAGCGCAAGUCUGAUGUGAAAGCCCGGGGCCCAACCGCGGGACUGCAUUGGAAACUGCGCAGCUGGAGUGCCGGAGGGGUAAGCGGAAUUCCUAGUGUAGCGGUGAAAUGCGUAGAUAUUAGGAGGAACACCAGUGGCGAAGGCGGCUUACUGGACGGCAACUGACGCUGAGGCUCGAAAGCGUGGGGAGCAAACAGGAUUAGAUACCCUGGUAGUCCACGCCGUANACGAUGAAUACCAGGUGUCGGGGGNCAGGGCCCUCCGGUGCCGCAGCAAACGCAGUAAGUAUUCCACCUGGGGAGUACGUUCGCAAGA
rnacentral:rRNA from 1 species